CCUACGGGGGGCAGCAGUGAGGAAUAUUUGUCAAUGGACGAGAGUCUGAACCAGCCAAGUAGCGUGAAGGAUGACUGCCCUAUGGGUUGUAAACUUCUUUUAUAUGGGAAUAAAUUGUUCCAAGUGUGGGAUUUUGUAUGUCCCAUAUGAAUAAGGCUCGGCACAAUCCGUGCCAGCAGCCGCGGUAAUCCGGAGGAUCCGGGCGUUAUCCGGUGUUAUUGGGUUUAAAGGGAGCGUAGGUGGAUUGUUAAGUCAGUUGUGAAAGUUUGCGGCUCAACAGUAAAAUUGCAGUUGAAACUGGCAGGCGUGAGUACAGUAGAGGUGGGCGGAAUUCGUGGUGUAGCGGUGAAAUGCUUAGAUAUCAGGAAGAACUCCGAUUGCGAAGGCAGCUCACUGGACUGCAACUGACACUGAGGCUCGAAAGUGUAGGUAUCAAACAGGAUUAGAUACCCGUGUAGUC
rnacentral:rRNA from 1 species